AAGGAAUAUUGGUCAAUGGACGCAAGUCUGAACCAGCCAUGCCGCGUGAAGGAUGAAGGUCCUCUGGAUUGUAAACUUCUUUUAUCUGGGACGAAAACGGGAUUUUUAUCUCAAUUGACGGUACCAGAGGAAUAAGCACCGGCUAACUCCGUGCCAGCAGCCGCGGUAAUACGGAGGUUGCGAGCGUUAUCCGGAUUUACUGGGUUUAAAGGGUGCGUAGGUGGGCUUAUAAGUCAGUGGUGAAAUCUCCGAGCUUAACUUGGAAACUGCCGUUGAUACUAUAGGUCUUGAAUUAUCUGGAGGUAAGCGGAAUAUGUCAUGUAGCGGUGAAAUGCUUAGAUAUGACAUAGAACACCAAUUGCGAAGGCAGCUUACUACAUAUAAAUUGACGCUGAGGCACGAAAGCGUGGGGAUCAAACA
rnacentral:rRNA from 1 species